GACAUCCAGAGAAUUUAGCAGAGAUGCUUUAGUGCCUUCGGGAACUCUGAGACAAGUGCUGCAUGGCUGUCGUCAGCUCGUGUUGUGAAAUGUUGGGUUAACGUCCGCAACGAGCGCAACCCUUAUCCUUUGUUGCCAGCACGUAAUGGUGGGAACUCAAAGGAGACUGCCGGUGAUAAACCGGAGGAAGGUGGGGAUGACGUCAAGUCAUCAUGGCCCUUACGAGUAGGGCUACACACGUGCUACAAUGGCGUAUACAAAGAGAAGCGACCUCGCGAGAGCAAGCGGACCUCAUAAAGUGCGUCGUAGUCCGGAUUGGAGUCUGCAACUCGACUCCAUGAAGUCGGAAUCGCUAGUAAUCGUAAAUCAGAAUGUUACGGUGAAUACGUUCCCGGGCCUUGUACACACCGCCCGUCACACCAUGGGAGUGGGUUGCAAAAGAAGUAGAUAGCUUAACCUUCGGGAGGGCGUUUACCACUUUGUGAUUCAUGACUGGGGUGAAGUCGUAACAAGGUAAGCGUAGUGCU
rnacentral:rRNA from 1 species